rnacentral:piRNA from 1 species
UGACAAUCAUUUCACAUUUCUGGGUACAGC